GACGAACGCUGGCGGCGUGCUUAACACAUGCAAGUCGAACGGAAAGGCCCUGCUUUUGUGGGGUGCUCGAGUGGCGAACGGGUGAGUAACACGUGAGUAACCUGCCCUUGACUUUGGGAUAACUUCAGGAAACUGGGGCUAAUACCGGCUAGGAGCGCCUGCUGCAUGGUGGGGGUUGGAAAGUUUCGGCGGUUGGGGAUGGACUCGCGGCUUAUCAGCUUGUUGGUGGGGUAGUGGCUUACCAAGGCUUUGGCGGGUAGCCGGCCUGAGAGGGUGACCGGCCACAUUGGGACUGAGAUACGGCCCAGACUCCUACGGGAGGCAGCAGUGGGGAAUAUUGCACAAUGGGCGGAAGCCUGAUGCAGCAACGCCGCGUGCGGGAUGACGGCCUUCGGGUUGUAAACCGCUUUCGCCUGUGACGAAGCGUGAGUGACGGUAAUGGGUAAAGAAGCACCGGCUAACUACGUG
rnacentral:rRNA from 1 species